rnacentral:rRNA from 1 species
CAGCCGUAAACUAUGCGCGUUAGGUGUAUCGGUGACCACGAGUUACCGAGGUGCCGAAGGGAAACCGUGAAACGUGCCGCCUGGGAAGUACGGUCGCAAGGCUGAAACUUAAAGGAAUUGGCGGGGGGAGCACAACAACGGGUGGAGCCUGCGGUUUAAUUGGACUCAACGCCGGGAAGCUCACCGGAUAGGACAGCAGAAUGAUUGCCGGGCUGAAGACCCUGCAUGACUAGCUGAGAGGAGGUGCAUGGCGUAGACGUCU